rnacentral:rRNA from 1 species
AGAGUUUGAUCCUGGCUCAGGACGAACGCUGGCGGCGUGCUUAACACAUGCAAGUCGAACGAGGUCCACUGAGUAGCAAUACAAGGGAAGACCUAGUGGCGAACGGGUGAGUAUCACGUGAGAAACCAACCCCGGUCUCUGGGAUAACAGUUGGAAACGACUGCUAAUACUGGAUGUCGUCGUACCCUCGCAUGGGGGGAUGACGAAAGGGUUACCGGACCGGGACGGUCUCGCGGCCUAUCAGCUUGUUGGGGAGGUAACGGCUCACCAAGGCUUCGACGGGUAGCUGGUCUGAGAGGAUGAUCAGCCACACUGGGACUGAGACACGGCCCAGACUCCUACGGGAGGCAGCAGUGGGGAAUCUUGCGCAAUGGGCGAAAGCCUGACGCAGCAACGCCGCGUGCGGGAUGAAGGCCUUCGGGUUGUAAACCGCUUUUAACAGGAACGAAAAUGACGGUACCUGUAGAAUAAGGUGCGGCCAACUACGUGCCAGCAGCCGCGGUGACACGUAGGCACCAAGCGUUGUCCGGAUUUAUUGGGCGUAAAGAGCUCGUAGGCGGUUCAGUAAGUCGGGUGUGAAAACUCUGGGCUUAACCCAGAGACGCCACUCGAUACUACUGUGACUAGAGUUCGGUANNGGAGCGGGGAAUUCCUAGUGUAGCGGUGAGAUGCGCAGNUAUNNNNNNNAACACCGGUGGCG